GAUUGUUCGAGCUGAUAUCAAAGACCUUAAUAAUGAAGACCUUGAUGGAGCUCCAUUGGUUUUGUACCCUUCUGUGAUUCCCGCAAGGAAAUAGAAGGUUUCAGAUUCUGGAAGCAAGGGUAUUGGCGCAACCAUUUAGCAGGCAGAAAGUACCACAUUUCUGCACUCUUUGUGGUGGACCUAAAGAAGUUCCGCCGAAUUGCUGCUGGAGACCGUCUACGAGGCCAGUACCAGGGCUUGUCACAAGAUCCCAACUCUCUCUCCAACUUAGACCAGGAUCUUCCAAACAACAUGGUACAUCAAGUGCGUAUAAAAUCCCUCCCUCAAGACUGGCUUUGGUGUGAGUCUUGGUGCGAUGAUGAAUCUAAGAAAACUGCUAAGAUUAUUGAUUUGGUAAGCCAG